GUAGCUGUUCUGAACUCUUCUUCCAUUCCAUGCUCUGAGGGUGGGAAGUGGAGGGACGGGGAGCUGAAGAAGUGGAAUGAGAUGCACAACAAUGCGGUGGAGAAGAGGAAGCCUCCCUGACUGCCUUGUGUCUCAGAAUUUCUAAAGCUGCUCCUCCCUGCCACGAUGUGUCCUAUCUCAUCCUCUCAUUGCACCAUGGAUUGUUAAGAGACACAGUUUCACUGUGUUAGCCAGGAUGGUCUCGAUCUCCUGACCUCGUGAAUUGCCCGCCUCGGCCUCCCAAAGUGCUGGGAUUACAGGCAUGAGCCACUGCGCCCGGCCCCACAACUCCUCUCUGGACCUCUCCUGAUGAAGUCAUUGCUGUAACUCUCCUAUUGUUGAGGAGGGUGGGGUCCUUGUGCAGGGAGUCCAGAUGGGGGACAGCCCCGUCCUGAUGGCCAAGGAUGUAAAUGGGAGGUGGCUAGGGGUAUGCCAUCCAGGGAAGAGGCUGCUUCAGGGGUGGGUGACAGUGCCUGCCUGCCAUGGCUGCCCACAGGCUGGCUCCACAGUCAAUGAUGCAUGACCCAGGGAGCACAGCCCCUGCCCCUUGCUUACCAGACUGUGAACCUGUAAGAGUGUGCCCUUUUAAGGGGGUCAUCCAUGCAAGAAGGUUUCAGCAGCACCAAUAGCUGGAUAGAAGGAAACAACCACCAGGGAGGAGGCGUGACACCUCAUCCAUGAUCACCAGCAAGCAGAGAUGCAGGGAGCAUAGGACAGGGACCUUCGGUCUCCCAGGCUUGAGGCCCAGCAUCAGACUGCCCUCCCAAGCAUGGCAAUGCCUGGCCCAGGACACCCAGGGUUGGGCUGCCUGCCCCAAUCUGGCAUAAGCUGGUGGGGGGCUGUUCUGCCUCUCCUGGCCCCCAGCUGUCCUCUUCUGUGUUUUCAGGCCUCAGACCAAGGCUAGAGAGUAGGAGGCUGAAGUGGAAUCAGGCCCCACCACUGCCAAGGAAGCUCUGCCCAUUAUUUGCAGCUAAUGGGGACAACAGUGCCCCAAUUUCUAGGGCUGGCAGGGCCUGUGUGCCUGGUGGCAGGGUUUUGGUAAGGGCCAUGCUGUUACUAUUAGUAAUAAUCACAGGGUUAUUAUUACUAUGCUAACGGCCUGUGAGGGGCCCCAGCAGGCACACUGUUCCCUCGCCUUGCCUGGACCCCGAUGGCUGACCUCUGAUACAGGCCAGAGGGGCUCAGUGGGCAGAGAGGUAAGGACCGUUUGAGAGAAAGAGGCCAAGGAAAGCCCGGAAAGAGGACAGAGGAAGCAGGUGUUUAUCGACUGCCUGCUGGGCCCUGGCAUGCUGUUCUGUGCUAUGUGUACGCCACCUGGCUCUACCCUCACCAGGACCUUCAGUCAACUUCCCAGUUUACGAAGAGAAGAACUGGGGCUCAGAGAGGUUGAGUGACUUCCCCAGGGUCACUCAGAAAAAGAGUGGGGGCAGCUGGAAAAUAUGUGUUGUUUUGUUUCCCCUUAAAAAUUCCUUUUUCUAGCUGGGUGUGGUGGCUCACGCCUGUAAUCCCAGCACUUUGGGAGGCCAAGGCCGGGGGAUCACGAGGUCAGGAGAUUGAGACCAUCCUGGCUAACACGGUGAAAUCCCAACUUUACUAAAAAUACAAAAAAUUAGCCUGGCAUGGUGGCACGCGC
rnacentral:lncRNA from 10 species